UCAUGUUGUUAAUUCGAUGAUACGCGAAGAACCGUUACCAGGUCUUGACAUCCCCGCAAUGCUCUGGAGACAGAGCGGAGGUAUCCGGGGAGACAGGUGGUGCAUGGUUGUCGUCAGCUCGUGUCGUGAGAUGUUGGGUUAAGUCCCGCAACGAGCGCAACCCCUAUUGUUAGUUGCCAUCAUUCAGUUGGGCACUCUAGCGAGACUGCCGGUAAUAAACCGGAGGAAGGUGGGAUGACGUCAAUCAUCAUGCCCCUUAUGACCUGGGCUACACACGUGCUACAAUGGUUGGUACAACGAGUUGCGAGUCGGUGACGGCGAGCUAAUCUCUUAAAGCCAAUCUCAGUUCGGAUUGUAGGCUGCAACUCGCCUACAUGAAGUCGGAAUCGCUAGUAAUCGCGGAUCAGCACGCCGCGGUGAAUACGUUCCCGGGCCUU
rnacentral:rRNA from 1 species